rnacentral:rRNA from 1 species
AGUGAACGCUGGCGGUAGGCCUAACACAUGCAAGUCGAACGGCAGCACAGUAAGAGCUUGCUCUUACGGGUGGCGAGUGGCGGACGAGUGAGGAAUACAUCGGAAUCUACUUUUUCGUGGGGGAUAACGUAGGGAAACUUACGCUAAUACCGCAUACGACCUACGGGUGAAAGCAGGGGAUCUUCGGACCUUGCGCGAUUGAAUGAGCCGAUGUCGGAUUAGCUAGUUGGCGGGGUAAAGGCCCACCAAGGCGGCGAUCCGUAGCUGGUCUGAGAGGAUGAUCAGCCACACUGGGACUGAGACACGGUCCAGACUCCUACGGGAGGCAGCCGUGGGGAAUAUUGGACAAUGGGCGCAAACCUGAUCCAGCCAUACCGCGUGGGUGAAGAAGGCCUUCGGGUUGUAAAGCCCUUUUGUUGGGAAAGAGAAGCAGCAGGUUAAUACCCCGCUGUUCUGACGGUACCCAAAGAAUAAGCACCGGCUAACUUCGUG